GGCGGAGCGGCGGUCGGGGUUCGCGGACGGGGGGGCGGCGCUCGGCAGCAUGGCGGACGACCUGGACUUCGAGACCGGCGACGCGGGCGCCUCGGCCACGUUCCCCAUGCAGUGCUCAGCGCUGCGUAAGAACGGCUUCGUGGUGCUCAAGGGGCGCCCCUGUAAGAUCGUGGAGAUGUCCACCUCCAAGACCGGCAAGCACGGCCACGCCAAGGUGCACCUGGUGGGCAUCGACAUCUUCACAGGGAAGAAGUACGAGGACAUCUGCCCCUCCACCCACAACAUGGACGUCCCCAACAUCAAGC
rnacentral:misc_RNA from 1 species